rnacentral:lncRNA from 1 species
UUGCAGUAGAUGUUACACUUACACAUUAAUGUAACUUGGCGUAAAAUUAUGAAGUACUAUAUUUUUGCAAUAUAGUAAUCGAAAAAAUUCCCUAAAUACAAGGCGCUUCUCCAAUAUUCGAUGCAAUUAACAUUUAAGAUCUAUUUGACCUCAUCAACUUCAUUAUUUUUGAAAUACUAAUAACUAGUUGGUGUUCAUAAUUUGUUUUUCUUUUCUUUCAUUUUUGUCAGUUCUUGUAACAUAUAACCCAAAAGGGAACAAAAUACUUUUUAGUUCUG